UCUUAGUGGCGGACGGGUGAGUAACGCGUGGGUAACCUGCCUUAUACAGGGGGAUAACACUUAGAAAUAGGUGCUAAUACCGCAUAAGCGCACGGGGCUGCAUGGCCCAGCGUGAAAAACUCCGGUGGUAUAAGAUGGACCCGCGUCUGAUUAGCUUGUUGGCGGGGUAACGGCCCACCAAGGCGACGAUCAGUAGCCGGCCUGAGAGGGUGGACGGCCACAUUGGGACUGAGACACGGCCCAAACUCCUACGGAAGGCAGCAG
rnacentral:rRNA from 1 species